GGUGUUGUAGCUCAGCGGUACAGUGCUCACUAAGCAUGUGUGAGGCCCUGGGUUCGAUCCUCAGCACCA
rnacentral:tRNA from 1 species